GUGAACGCUGGCGGUAGGCCUAACCCAUGCAAGUCGAACGGCAGCACAGUAAGAGCUUGCUCUUACGGGUGGCGAGUGGCGGACGGGUGAGGAAUACAUCGGAAUCUACUUUUUCGUGGGGGAUAACGUAGGGAAACUUACGCUAAUACCGCAUACGACCUACGGGUGAAAGCAGGGGAUCUUCGGACCUUGCGCGAUUGAAUGAGCCGAUGUCGGAUUAGCUAGUUGGCGGGGUAAAGGCCCACCAAGGCGACGAUCCGUAGCUGGUCUGAGAGGAUGAUCAGCCACACUGGAACUGAGACGCGGUCCAGACUCCUACGGGAGGCAGCAGUGGGGAAUAUUGGACAAUGGGCGCAAGCCUGAUCCAGCCAUACCGCGUGGGUGAAGAAGGCCUUCGGGUUGUAAAGCCCUUUUGUUGGGAAAGAAAAGCAGCAGGUUAAUACCCCGCUGUUCUGACGGUACCCAAAGAAUAAGCACCGGCUAACUUCGUG
rnacentral:rRNA from 1 species